UGGGCAUUAGUUUAAACAAAACAGUUAAUUUCGGCUUAUCCAACCCGAGAACUCCCUCGGAUGCCCAU
rnacentral:tRNA from 1 species